CCAAUAGCGUAUAUUAAAGUUGUUGCAGUUAAAAAGCUCGUAGUUGAAUUUCGGGAUCAAUAUAUCGGUCGUGCCAUUGGUACGUACUGGUAUCAUUGGUUUCUCCUUUCUGACGAACCAUGAUGUCAUUAAUUUGGUGUUAUGGGAAGUUAGGACUGUUACUUUGAAAAAAUUAGAGUGUUUAAAGCAGGCUUUAGCUUGAAUACAUUAGCAUGGAAUAAUGAAAUAGGACGUUCGAACCUAUUUUGUUGGUUUCUAGGAUCAACGUAAUGAUUAAUAGGGAUAGUUGGGGGCAUUAGUAUUCAAUUGUCAGAGGUGAAAUUCUUGGAUUUAUUGAAGACUAACUACUGCGAAAGCAUUUGCCAAGGAUGUUUUCAUUAAUCAAGAACGAAAGUUAGGGGAUCGAAGACGAACAGAUACCGUCGUAGUCUUAACCAUAAACUAUGCCGACUAGGGAUCGGAUGAUGUUAAUUUUUUAAUGACUCAUUCGGCGCCUUACG
rnacentral:rRNA from 1 species